rnacentral:rRNA from 1 species
GACGAACGCUGGCGGCGUGCUUAACACAUGCGAGUCGAACGGAAAGGCCCUGCUUUUUUGGUGUGCUCGAUUGGCGAACGGGUGAGUAACACGUGUGUAACCUGCCCUUGACUUUGGGAUGACUUCAGGAAACUGGGGCUAAUACCGGAUAGGAGCUCCUGUAGCAUGGAGGGGGUUGGAAAGUUUCGGCCGUUGGGGAUUGACUCGCGGCUUAUUAGCUUGUUGGUGGGGUUGUGGCUUACCAAGGGUUUGACGGCUAGCCGGCCUGCGAGGGUUCCCGCGAAUACUGAUGCUGAGUAACGGCCCGGUGGCCUCCGUGAGGCAGCAGAGGAGAACAUUAAACAAUGGGCGGAAGUCUGAUGCAGCAACGCUGCGUGCGGGAAGACGGUUUAUGGGUUGUGAACCGCUUUCGCUUAUGAUGCCGCGUGUAUGACGGUAAUGGGUGAAGAAGCAACGGAUAACUACGUG